rnacentral:rRNA from 1 species
AUUGAACGCUGGCGGCAUGCCUUACACAUGCAAGUCGAACGGCAGCAUGGGAGCAAUCCUGGUGGCGAGUGGCGAACGGGUGAGUAAUGUAUCGGAACGUGCCUGGUAGUGGGGGAUAACUGCUCGAAAGAGCAGCUAAUACCGCAUACGACCUGAGGGUGAAAGGGGGGGAUCGCAAGACCUCUCGCUAUCAGAGCGGCCGAUGUCGGAUUAGCUAGUUGGUGGGGUAAAAGCCCACCAAGGCGACGAUCCGUAGCUGGUCUGAGAGGACGACCAGCCACACUGGGACUGAGACACGGCCCAGACUCCUACGGGAGGCAGCAGUGGGGAAUUUUGGACAAUGGACGCAAGUCUGAUCCAGCCAUGCCGCGUGCGGGAAGAAGGCCUUCGGGUUGUAAACCGCUUUUGUCAGGGAAGAAAUCUUCUGGGUUAAUACCCUGGGAGGAUGACGGUACCUGAAGAAUAAGCACCGGCUAACUACGUGCCAGCAGCCGCAGUAAGAC